rnacentral:rRNA from 1 species
GCCUUCUGAGUUGUUGAUAUAGAAGGUCUCGCCUGCCCAGUGACUGUAAUGGUUUAACGGCCGCUGUUUUUGUGCUAAGGUAGCGCGGUAAGUAACCCUUUAAUUGAGGGAUAGUAUGAAUGGCUGGACGCAGAGAAGCUGUUUCCAAUGUAGUGAACAAGAAGUUUCUUUCUAAGUGCAAAAGCUUGGGUUUUUGUAAAAGACGACGAGACCCUGUCGAACUUGUUUAAAAACUAAAAUAUUUAGCUUAGAUUAGUUAAUAAGUUUCAGUUCUGUUAUUUUUUAGCUAUUUCCUUAAUUUGUUUUUAAUUUUUGAUUAUGGUUUUAUCACAGUCUUGUUUAUUGGUAAGUAGUGUUUGUUUUAAAAAAUAUUAUUUACGUGGUAAGUUGUGGUUAAAUCACACAGAUUAAGUUGUUUCGAGUUUAUUUUGGUUUCGAAUUUUUGUUGGGGCAACACACACUUAUUAAACGGUGUGUUUUUGUAUAAGGACCCUGUAUGACGGCCUAAAGCAAAAGUUACCACAGGGAUAACAGCGUAAUUUUUUUUUGUAAUUGGAUCGAAAAAAGAGUUUACGACCUCGAUGUUGAAUUAAGAAACCUUUAUGGCCAGGAGCUAUAGGAGGAAAAAUGUUCGUUUUUUAAUUUCUU